UUGAACGCUGGCGGCAUGCCUAACACAUGCAAGUCGAACGGUAACGCGAGGAGCUUGCUCCUUGGCGACGAGUGGCGGACGGGUGAGUAACGCUUAGGAAUCUGCCCAGUAGUGGGGGACAACAUUCGGAAACGGAUGCUAAUACCGCAUACGCACUACGGUGGAAAGUGGGGGAUCUUCGGACCUCACGCUAUUGGAUGAGCCUAAGUCGGAUUAGCUUGUUGGUGAGGUAAUGGCUCACCAAGGCGACGAUCCGUAGCUGGUCUGAGAGGACGAUCAGCCACACUGGGACUGAGACACGGCCCAGACUCCUACGGGAGGCAGCAGUGGGGAAUAUUGGACAAUGGGCGCAAGCCUGAUCCAGCAAUGCCGCGUGUGUGAAGAAGGCCUGCGGGUUGUAAAGCACUUUCAGUAGAGAAGAAAAGCCUAGGGUUAAUACCCCUGAGUCUUGACGUAACCUACAGAAGAAGCACCGGCUAACUCCGUG
rnacentral:rRNA from 1 species